rnacentral:rRNA from 1 species
AUUGAACGCUGGCGGCAGGCCUAACACAUGCAAGUCGAACGAGUGGCGGACGGGUGAGUAAUGUCUGGGAAACUGACUGAUGGAGGGGGAUAACUACUGGAAACGGUAGCUAAUACCGCAUACCCUCAGAUGUACCCAGAUGGGAUUAGCUAGUGGGUGGGGUAACGGCUCAACAAGGCGACGAUCCCUAUCUGGUCUGAGAGGAUGACCAUCCACACUGGAACUGUGACACGGGCCAGAGUCCUACGUGAGGCAGCAGUGGGGAAUAUUGCACAAUGGGCGCAAGCCUGAUGCAGCCAUGCCGCGUGUAUGAAGAAGGCCGUCGGGUUGUAAAGUACUUUCAGCGGGGAGGCGUUACCCGCAGAAGAAGCACCGGCUAACUCCGUGCCAGCAGCCGCGGUAAUUC